UUUAAAAUAAAAUUUGUAAAUAAAGUUAUACAUUUGAAAUAUGUUAAGAAUAGCUUUUUAUAUUUUCCUCUCGACAUUUUUGUUACUGGGAAAUGCUAAAAAAUUAUAUGGUGAUCGAAUAUCGGAUGCCAAGAAAGUUUUAGAUGCUGCUUUGGACCUAUUAAACCUAGAAGGCGGACCCCUGUACUCAAUACAUGAAGUGGAUGCUGUUUACAAAUUUAUACCCCAAGUUAUUUACACUUAUGACAUUAAUGUCCAGGAUUAUAUGAGUGAUAACAAAAAUUGUAUAAUAACAAUAUCAUAUACUUACGAUGAUGUAAAUGCAC